rnacentral:rRNA from 1 species
UACGUAGGGUGCGAGCGUUAAUCGGAAUUACUGGGCGUAAAGCGCGUUCAGGCGGUUUGGCAAGUCGGGCAUGAAAUCUCUCGGCUCAACCGGGAGAGGUUGUCCGAUACUGCUGGACUUGAGGGCAGUAGAGGGUGGUGGAAUUCCUGGUGUAGCGGUGAAAUGCGCAGAUAUCAGGAGGAACACCGGUGGCGAAGGCGGGUCUCUGGGCCGAUACUGACGCUGAGGAGCGAAAGCGUGGGGAGCGAACAGG